GGAGGGGAAGGAGGCAGGCUGCCAACUCCCGAGGUGGGACAGCCUGCACUCCAGGAUCUGGAAGCCAGCUAAGCUGGGACAUGCCCCGACCCUCAGACGGAGUAUGUCGGAGAAGGGGAACAAACCAGAGGACCCCCGUGAAAUGGAGGACCCGGAGGUUAUGAUCAGUGGUCUCCAAACUUUUUGGCUCGCACACCCCCAGGGUGAAAACCAGAAGACCUGCCACAGACGCGCCGUCGAUGGAACAGGGCUGGAAGACCUGCUGCAGGCAGGCUGCCAGAGUGGAACACCAGCCAUGGACGUACAGAGUGGCCGCUGAAGAUAAAAAAAGGUGGAGUGCCAUCUGGCGGCACUCCUGCUGCCGCGCACCCCUUAGGAUCAUCUUGUGCGCCCCCUGCGGAGCACGCACCCCAGUUUGGAGACCACUGUUCUAGAUAAUUCAGAGGUGUUCCUAUUUUAUAUUAAAGAUUUUUAUGGACAAGA